rnacentral:rRNA from 1 species
GACGAACCGAGCGAACGUUGUUCGGAAUCACUGGGCUUAAAGCGUGUGUAGGCGGGCCCGUAAGUGUCUUGUGAAAUCCCACGGCUCAACCGUGGAACUGCUGGGCAUACUGCGGGUCUUGGGCCAACUAGGGGCAGCCGGAACAAGCGGUGGAGCGGUGAAAUGCGUAGAUAUCGCUUGGAACGCCGAAGGUGAAAACAGGCUGCUGGGGUUGCGCCGACGCUGAGACACGAAAGCCAGGGGAGCAAACGGG